rnacentral:rRNA from 1 species
GAUGAACGCUGGCGGCGUGCUUAACACAUGCAAGUCGAACGGGAAAUCUUUCAUUGAGACUUCGGUGGAUUUGAUUUAUUUCUAGUGGCGGACGGGUGAGUAACGCGUGGGUAACCUGCCUUAUACAGGGGGAUAACAGUCAGAAAUGGCUGCUAAUACCGCAUAAGCGCACAGAGCUGCAUGGCUCAGUGUGAAAAACUCCGGUGGUAUAAGAUGGACCCGCGUUGGAUUAGCUAGUUGGUGGGGUAGCGGCCCACCAAGGCGACGAUCCAUAGCCGGCCUGAGAGGGUGAACGGCCACAUUGGGACUGAGACACGGCCCAGACUCCUACGGGAGGCAGCAGUGGGGAAUAUUGCACAAUGGGGGAAACCCUGAUGCAGCGACGCCGCGUGAAGGAAGAAGUAUCUCGGUAUGUAAACUUCUAUCAGCAGGGAAGAUAGUGACGGUACCUGACUAAGAAGCCCCGGCUAACUACGUG